GUUGAACGCUGGCGGCAGGCUUAACACAUGCAAGUCGAGCGGGGGAAGGUAGCUUGCUACUGGACCUAGCGGCGGACGGGUGAGUAAUGCUUAGGAAUCUGCCUAUUAGUGGGGGACAACAUCUCGAAAGGGAUGCUAAUACCGCAUACGUCCUACGGGAGAAAGCAGGGGAUCUUCGGACCUUGCGCUAAUAGAUGAGCCUAAGUCGGAUUAGCUAGUUGGUGGGGUAAAGGCCUACCAAGGCGACGAUCUGUAGCGGGUCUGGGAGGAUGAUCCGCCACACUGGGACUGAGACACGGGCCAGACGCCUACGGGAGGCAGCAGUGGGGAAUAUUGGACAAUGGGGGGAACCCUGAUCCAGCCAUGCCGCGUGUGUGAAGAAGGCCUUAUGGUUGUAAAGCACUUUAAGCGAGGAGGAGGCUACUUUAGUUAAUACCUAGAGAUAGUGGACGUUACUCGCAGAAUAAGCACCGGCUAACUCUGUGCCAGCAGCCGCGGUAA
rnacentral:rRNA from 1 species